rnacentral:rRNA from 1 species
UACGUAGGCAGCGAGCGUUGUUCGGAAUUACUGGGCGUAAAGCGCACGUAGGCGGCUUUGUAAGUUAGAGGUGAAAGCCCAGGGCUUAACCCUGGAAUUGCCUUUAAGACUGCAUCGCUAGAAUCGUGGAGAGGUGAGUGGAAUUCCGAGUGUAGAGGUGAAAUUCGUAGAUAUUCGGAAGAACACCAGUGGCGAAGGCGACUCACUGGACACGGUAUUGACGCUGAGGUGCGAAAGCGUGGGGAGCAAACACGG